rnacentral:rRNA from 1 species
AUACGUAGGGGGCGAGCGUUGUCCGGAAUGAUUGGGCGUAAAGAGCUCGUAGGUGGUUUGUCGCGUCGUCUGUGGAAUUCCGGGGCUUAACUCCGGGCGUGCAGGCGAUACGGGCAUAACUUGAGUACUGUAGGGGAGACUGGAAUUCCUGGUGUAGCGGUGAAAUGCGCAGAUAUCAGGAGGAACACCGGUGGCGAAGGCGGGUCUCUGGGCAGUAACUGACGCUGAGGAGCGAAAGCAGGGGUAGCGAACAGGAUUAGAUCCCCUGGUAGUCCAUGCCGUAAACGGUGGGCGCUAGGUGUAGGGGUCUUCCACGACUUCUGUGCCGUAGCUAACGCAUUAAGCGCCCCGCCUGGGGAGUACGGCCGCAAGGCUAAAACUCAAAGGAAUUGACGGGG